rnacentral:tRNA from 1 species
CAGGGGUCUUGAACAGCGGCCUGGCGGCGCUUGGGCUGCCGCAGGUUGGAAUCUAUGGGUUUCACGGUGUGGUUCUGGCCCAUGUGUUCCUGA